CGGGGCGUAGCGCAGCUUGGUAGCGCACUUGCAUGGGGUGCAAGGGGUCGAAGGUUCAAAUCCUUUCGUCCCGACCA
rnacentral:tRNA from 2 species